UAGGGAAUCUUCCACAAUGGACGCAAGUCUGAUGGAGCAACGCCGCGUGAGUGAAGAAGGUUUUCGGACCGUAAAGCUCUGUUGUUGGUGAAGAAGGAUAGAGGUAGUAACUGGCCUUUAUUUGACGGUAAUCAACCAGAAAGUCACGGCUAACUACGUGCCAGCAGCCGCGGUAAUCGUAGGUGGCAAGCGUUGUCCGGAUUUAUUGGGCGUAAAGCGAGCGCAGGCGGAAGAAUAAGUCUGAUGUGAAAGCCCUCGGCUUAACCGAGGAAUUGCAUCGGAAACUGUUUUUCCUUGAGUGCA
rnacentral:rRNA from 1 species